rnacentral:rRNA from 1 species
AUUGAACGCUGGCGGCAUGCCUUACACAUGCAAGUCGAACGGCAGCACGGGAGCAAUCCUGGUGGCGAGUGGCGAACGGGUGAGUAAUAUAUCGGAACGUGCCCAGUCGUGGGGAUAACGUAGCGAAAGUUACGCUAAUACCGCAUACGAUCUAAGGAUGAAAGCGGGGGAUCGCAAGACCUCGCGCGAUUGGAGCGGCCGAUAUCAGAUUAGGUAGUUGGUGAGGUAAAGGCUCACCAAGCCAACGAUCUGUAGCUGGUCUGAGAGGACGACCAGCCACACUGGAACUGAGACACGGUCCAGACUCCUACGGGAGGCAGCAGUGGGGAAUUUUGGACAAUGGACGCAAGUCUGAUCCAGCCAUUCCGCGUGCAGGAUGAAGGCCCUCGGGUUGUAAACUGCUUUUGUACGGAACGAAAGGUUUGUCUUAAUACGAUGAGCUCAUGACGGUACCGUAAGAAUAAGCACCGGCUAACUACGUGCCAG